GGUAUGAUGAGUUGAGAUGCAAUAUUUUGUGUGUACACUAUUGUGUAGAAAACUAGUUUUGUACUUUCAUUUGUUUCUCUCCCAUUUGUGCUUUUAUGUACCUAGAUGUCAGUGAUCAUAAUGUAUUGGAUAUUAAUUAUGUGAUGUGUUGUUCUUUAAGAAGUUAUAAAGCUAGGAAUUUUUGGAAAAUCUCAAUAUCUCCAUGUGUGUGUUUUGUGCAUUUCUUACCCGUGCUCCUGGGCCUAGGAUCUUGUGUCAUGUGUGGUUGCACGUUUGGACACAUACUUGUUUGGUAGAAGUUGGAACAACUCAAAAAAUUUGAUCUCUCAGUUUGAUUUUCUGGCGCACACUUGAAGCAUGC
rnacentral:misc_RNA from 1 species